GAGAAGAUUAGAGAUUUGAGUUUAGGGUGCUGUGUGUAGAAAACUUGCACGUGGAAAACACGCAGCCGGGCCGCCACGUGUCCUGAGUGGUAGUGGUGGCGGCAGGCUUCGAGCUUAGGCGUGUGGAGGCUGGUGCUGAUGGCCACGAGCGCUGUGCGCGGCCUGCUUGCUAAACGCCGACAUCCGGCUGGCCAAGCCUGAGCGGCGGCGGGAAAACCAUAUUCCCGGUGUUUGGGGCAGGGAGUUUUACGUUGAGCAAGAGGCCUUUAAUAAGGAGAGUGUCGUUUUCUCGUCGCGGAUCAAAAGGUCAUUUGAAAAUGGGCAGCCCUGACGUUGCCUGAGAUUGAGUUGUAUUGUGCCCAGGUGGCGCUGUGUGCAAACCAGAUUAGUGAUUGGGAAGAUUUUAGUACCGAAAACCUUCAACUGUCAUUCUGUAAGAAUGCUUAGUUUUAAAUAUUUUGGUCCCCUUCAGGAACAAUGGCUCUCAGUGGCAUAACGGAGCUGUUACCUGGAGAUGUUCACAUACAAAGGAAAACUAGAAAAUACGUGAGGGAAUAUUUGCUGGGAAAUUACUUGGUUGGAACCUGACCAUUUUACCCAGCAUCCUGGGAGUUGAUGAAUACUAACAGACCUACAAAUGUCACUGGCUAGCAACGUAAUUUUUAAAUGAGGGGUCGCUGUCUUUCCAUUGAAAGAGGCCAGUUUGCUGUGACCUUCCUAAGAUGUAACCCGUUUCCGGUUAAUACCACCAGAUUUACUUGUGAAAAAUCGAUAAGGAAAAGCUCUUCAUUUAACUGACAUGGGAAGAAAACCUACAAAUCAAGACAAUAUUUUUUUAUUUCUGUAAACAGGUUAUGAAACCGCAUCAGAUUCAGAUUAAUGUAUUUGUAAGAUUUAAGCCAUUACUUUUUAUGUCAUACUGCCCUAGAGAAUCCUAACCUGUUAAGCAGAUUACUUUGUAGAUCUAUUUCUAUUUUAAAUACAGGAAUGCAAAAGAAGGUACAUAUUUUUAAUGGAGAAGUCUUUGAUUUCAGUUAACCAGACUUGUAAUCAGCUUAUUGUGAAUGUUUCACCUUUGGCCACCUGUUUGAAUUUAAAAUCUACGAUUGUAAUUAAAGCUGAGUGAAAAUUUACACUGAAUAUUGUGGAAAAGUCCUUAGAUUUUUAUGGAGAGAUGACUCAUUUUGGCAGUAUCACACGGUACAGAUCGUGUUGGGUUUUGUAGCGUACUGAAUAUUACUGGAUUAGUGGUGAGCAAAACGGAAAGACUGAGUCUAUUACUGGGGGAGGGGAAAAUACCAGGUAUUACUGGUUCUAAUUACUGAAUUCUGGAAUGUUUGGUCCUAAUGAAUUAUAGUUUGAAAGGAUGCUUAAGAUGGAAAAUGUGAGGGACACCUUGGUGGCUCAGUAAAACAUCUCAGCUCCUCCAUGCUGGGCAUGAAACCUACUUUAAAAAAAAAAGAUGGGAAAAUGUGGAAUGCUGAAAAUGAAGAGAGCACAGCAUGACAACGGGUCAUGGGGGAAGUUCACUGAUAAAACCAGACAUUGCAUAGAAUGGAUUUAGUGUAGACAGUAAUAGCAUCUGAUCUAACCAAGAUGGUUUGGCCCCAUGCAUGAUCAUUUUCCCUAAAUAGCUACAUGAAUAAAUUGUUGCUAAGCCUAUACUUCAGUGUUAGUCAAAAGAAUAUUCUUGUCAGCUUAUUAUGAACUACCUUUUUUCCUAAAAUGUUUUCUUAGUGAAAAUACAACGUUGGACCCAUGUAGUUUUAAGAGGCUCAGUGACAACCAUGCCAUUUAGUGGCACACCCACAAAGAAGAGGUCACAUGAGCACACAGUGUGAUGGUGACCACCCACAAGCCAAGACAAGAGUCCUCAGAAUGUUGAACUUCCAGCCUCCAGAACUGUGAGAGAAAAUUCAUUUCUAUUGUUUAAGCCACCCAGUCUGUGAUAUUUUGUUAUGGCAGCUCUAACAGACUAAGAAGCAGAGGAUAAAUGGCCACUGCUAUAAUUUUGGGAGUUUAUAUUUAGCUAAAGAAUUAUGAGUAAUAACUAUGAAAAAAGCCCAUGCAAUGUAAUCUCUCUGGCUUUAUACAUUUUCCCUUUAGGUUUCUAUUUAUUACACUGGAACUAAAUCUACAAUGUACUUUCUUAUUGAAUAUUAGCAAACACAGCUGCUAGUCACAAAGCUUCCUCUCCA